rnacentral:snoRNA from 1 species
CCUGCACAUUGUUAGAGCUUGGAGUUGAGGCCACUGGCCGAUGAACUCACAAGUGUAGGUAGUGUGCUACCUGACGGGCAAGUUUUUCGCUAACACCACAAGGGUCUCUGGCCCAAUGAGUGAAGUUUGAUAGUAAUACUUGCUACAAAU